AUUCUAUACCUGCUUUUCAUCCCUUAAAUCAACCUACUUCCUUGUUCAAUAAAUUUUUAGUGGAUAUGUUCAUUCGUAAAGGGAUCUCCCAAAGUCUUUUUGUAUGACUUACAGUUUUUUCUUUUUUAACUCCAUUUUUCAUAAGCUGGCAUAAUUAAGCAGGGGUUCGUGAGCUGGAAUACCUCGAAGAGAAGGAACUAGAUAAUCAUUAUAACAAAUAUAUGAGCUGAAGAGGAGAAAAGAGAGAUACUAUUCUUCUUUUGCAUCAUUAGUUUCUACGAAGCACAACCAAAUGGAAGAAUCAUCAAAUGGGGAAUUAGAGGAGAUCCAGAAAUUGAAGUCACAGGAGGAGGAUAAGAAAGUGGUUGUUGAAGAGUCAGGAGAGGGUAAAGCAGAAGCCGAAUCUGUGAGAGAAGUUGUUGUUAAUGGGAAUUCUGAGUCUGUAAAUGAUGACCGUGAUGGAGAGGCAGAACCCGUUGAGAUUAGUCCUCAGGUUGUGGAUUCAGUGGAAUUACAGGAGGAGAAAACUGUUAUCGACUCAGUUGUUGAUCCAAUUGAAACAGAGGUUUCCCUUGCAGAAGAGUUGACAGAGGAUGUUGAAGUAGCGGUUGAGAUAUCAGAGACUCCUGAUGAUGUUGCUGGAUCAGAAUCCAAGGAAUCGGAAGUCAACAUUUCGCAGUCUUUGGAGGAGAGCAAUGGUGUUUCUGCGGAUGAAACAAAUGACUUGUCCAAGGCGAUUAAAGAAGAAACUUUGCCUUCUUCUAAUGAGAGCAAUGGGGUUUCUCAAGUUGUAACGGAGGUUGUGUCAGAGAAAAUUGGAGAAAUAAUUUUGCCCCCUUUUGAGGAGAAUGGUGAGGUUCCUCCAGCUAUAAGUGAUGUCGUCUCAAAGAAAACUGAGGAAACAAAAUUGCCUGUUUUGGAACAGAAUACUGAGAAGUCAUCCAACGCUGCUUAUUCGGAAUCCAGGGGAAAAGUUGAUGAACCAAACCAGACAAUGGCAGAUUUAGACAGUGUUGUCGACACCAGCAAUCCCUGUGAAUCGGUUAAUAAGCCUGAGAUUCCUGGAAGCACUGGAAAUCCGCCUAUUAUAUCUUUGUCCCGGCGCAACUUCCGACCAACUUCCUGGAGAAGCUGCUGUGGACUUCUUGAUAUUCUCCGUCGCUCCGACAGAUAAAUGGAAGUAACACAGAAUUUUGGUGAAACACUUGAAAAGGAUUGAAAAAUGAACUUGUCCAUUGUGAAUGAAAAAUAGAGAAAGGUUUACAUAAAGCAGGAUAGUCUGUAAGUUGUGGUGAUUAACCAUAGUUAUGGAUGAUAAUUGUCUUUUCUAUCCGGCAACUGGAGAUGAAAAUUUGCGGGUUCCAGAGCAGAUAUUUGAUAGGGGAGUCUGAAGAUGUGCGCUAGCUAUUACUAGAUUUCAGAGUAUUAACAGCAAUUUACCUACUGCUGGCAGAUUGUAUUGGGAUAUCCUUGCAGCGGCUACCGGAUCAAGAUUGUGUUUUUGAACAAAUGGGAGAUUGAUAUUGUUGUUACAAUUUUUUUUAAGAUUAAGAUGCGCAAAGCCUGAAGUGUGAAGUUAGGGCGGUGGGAUUUGAACAAAGUUUUAGUGAUAUAUUGAUUUCUUGUUGCAUUUGUGAUUGUGAUCAUUGUCUAAACGGUGUUAAAUGUAUGGUGUGUUCAAAAUUGCAUGGACUUUAAUGGUUAUGCUGCUUUUAGCCAGUGAAAAGAAAUAACAUUUUUGUUUAAGAA